UGUAAAAUAUUAGGACUUUUGCAUGUGCAUCCUACAUUCAUGAAUGCAGAUAUGUGCAUCUACCAGCUAUCUUCGUAACUAUUCACACACUUAAGUUAGUUGUUACGACAUCAGGUGCAGCUUAGAUUCUGGGGUUCAAAACUGGACAAUUUUAACAAGAAAUGGAGAAGAUAUCGAACUGAAUCUCAUGAUUAAUCAGCAGGCAAUGCCAGGCAUCUUUAUAGGAUAUUAUUAAAUUCCACUACCAUUAUGGGCCGUCCAACCAUCAGUACCGAGAACCAGUUACAGAAUUAAACA